CAAAACCGCGCAGCUGACUGUGGGCCCGCCGUGGUGCUGGCCACUCGCCGAGGGCCAGGCCCUGACGCCCUCCCAGGAGCUGCCGACGGGAAGGCUGUGCCAGCUCUGCCAUGACCCACGCCCUGUGUAGAUGGUCUUGUCCUCAGCACAGCCCUGGCGGCCUCUGUCACCUGGGCCACCCUUCUUUAUGUGACCAGUCAGCACACUGAACGGCUGCCAGAAACCCAAACAGACGCUCAGCUCCUGUACCAUCUGGAGCGUCUGGGGAGCGAGCUGCCCUCCAACACCCAAAACAGGAGGCUCCGGGAUGAGGGUUCCUCCUCCCUCCAUGCAGAAGCUCGAAGGCUGGUGCUGUAGCUCUCUGAGGAGUGGCCCCACAGCCAAGGCAGCCCCCACAGUGGACCAGGCAGGAGACACUGGGACCCUCAGCUUGCUCACGAUAUACAAUCUCUUGGGGAUUCCGUGCCACUGACCACCAUGUACGAGGAAGGGAUUCACAGGCAAGGGGGACAGGUGAGGGCAGCCCCCACUUCACUCAAGGACAGGGCAAGGGGGCCCGGUACAGAGAACAGAAAUCUCUUACGACAGCAUCGUGCCCUGGCAGAAGAUUCUGCAUAAUCACCUAGAAAAUUCAAUUCUAACUGAAUUGAUGGAAUAAUAGAUUUGAACCAAAAUAAUUUACCCAGUUCUAUUAAGUACAGAAACUAUACAAUUCACAGCUGGGCAGUCCCAAGCAGUCUGCUUUCCAGCGGGAGGUGGAGGAGGCUGGGGCCUUCCCCUCCCACCAAGGGCUGUGUUGUGCCCGCUGGGGACGAGUCCCACUGAAAUCUCCAGGAGAAGAAUGACCCUGCCCUCCGCAGAGCAGGCUUAGGGGUGGACGGGAGAGCAGUCUGCGUGCCAGGGGUGAGCAGAGCCACAGGCCUCCAUGGAAAUCAUGGAGAAGGGAGGGAAGUGGGCAGGAGAGAGGGCAGCCUCUCCAGCUGAAGGAGCUGCGCUUGUCUCCACAGGGUGGGCGGGCAGCUAGAGUUUCUAUGCCCAACACACACCUUAUCCUCACUCACAGCAGCCCACUGGCACCGAGGGCAUGUUUGCUCACCUCAUGUUUUCUGGCAGAUUUCUCAUGGCCCAGCGCAACAACUGACAUUCCCUACUGAGCAAGCAGCUCCGCCAGUGUGCCCUGCCCCAGCGUCCCGCCGUCUCUCAGCCCCUAGAUGAGCCCAGGGAACCGGCACUCUACUGAGGACAAAGCAGGGCUCACCUAGCAUUGGAAGCUCUUCAAUACUUAAGGUAGCUAAUUCAAUGUUUUUAAAGGCAUUUACAACAGAAAACCAAAGAUUGAACUUCAGCUUCAGAUUUGUAAACCAUUCACAUCUCUGCAACUUAAAACAGUAAAUAAAGAUUAUCAAUGCACAAGCCAAUUGCAAA